rnacentral:misc_RNA from 1 species
ACACAAUUUACUUUCGAUUUGAUAAACUAACUGUUACUAAGCAGUGUGAUCACUUUAUUCAACACAAUGGGGAGGUGAAAUCUUCACACGCGAUGUUCCCAGUGGUGUGUCAGAAGUUUGUCCAUGCCAUGGGGCCGGACACCAUGAUCCCCGCCCAGAGUAUGGAUGCGGCUCAGGAUCUGGACCUCCUCAAGGUCGUGCUGAGGAAGACCAAGCGAAGCUAUCUGUUCUGGGAGAAAGUCAAGCACACAGUCCUGGAUUUUCAUCUCCAGUCCUUGCUACAGAACAGCCAUGUUGUGCUGGAUGUUCCAAGUAAGACGAAGGAAUUUUGCCAGUUCAAUCCGGAGACAAAGUAUUCCCUGGACGGAAAACUCGGGAUCCAGCUGAUGAGGGAACUAAUGGAUGCAUCGCUAUCUGCUUCGGAUUCCGUCACCAUUUCAUCUCGACUCGGAACCAUCCAGGAGAAAAGUCUGGACUCUGAAGCUUUGCUGGAGGCACUGAAGGGCAGGAGACUGGACAUGACUAACACGGUGGUACGUCAGGUUGUGGAGAGUACCCAACAGUCUAUCAGUCUGUGUCUCGUCAAGGACCUCUACCUCGUCCAGAAAGACGCCGAAAUCAAACGCGUGAAGACGGUGGACGAAGACCUGGAUGUCAACGAAAAGGUGAAGGUGGUUCCAGGCGACAUUGAUGAGAAAGUCCACUACGAUAAAACGGGCGACAUCGUUGUCCCUGCAGGAACUCCCGUAGCUUACAAAGUCUGGGAACUCAAGGUCAGGGCCAAAGAUGGGGCCAUAACCCCCAUGACCUUACCCAGGGGCCAGGGAGGUUUCCAAGGGAUUCUGAUGAGGGACUAUGCUGACACAGUGGGUAAGAGAACUUUGCUUCUGCACUCAUUGCAUAGGACAUAUUCACAUCGUACACCAAAUUGUCCAAUAAAUCAAAUGUUCUAGAGCUGUGAAUGCUGCAGUUGGUAAAAGUUUCCUGAAAUACUCAAUAUUACUGCUUUAAAUGGUAUGUGUAUAUUGCCUACAUGUAGAAAGAAGUAGUAAUGGGGAAGAUUUUUCAGUGUGUUGAUGAUGUUAGUUGACUGAAUUGAAUAAAAUAACUCAGAUCCUGACAAGGAAACUGACAAAGGACAUAAAAUGGUGGCAGACAUUUUGAAUCCCUUGGUGACGAUGUCAGAGUCGGAGAGAGGCAGUCUGAUUGGUGCCUUGAAGACAGUCAUGGGCAACCAAGCAGAAAUCAAGCGAAUCGAAAACCUGUUAAGUGAUGUUGAAGCUGAGAGUUUAAAAGAAGCUUCAUAUUCAGAAUGGAUAAAAAAUGGUUCUUUUGAAGAAACAGUUUACAACACAAUUCUCACAGCUUGUGGAUUUGUCAUUAAGGAUGACCAGCUUCAGUACCCACUGGCCCCCAGCAGUGUUCUAACAGCCUGUGCCUAUGUAUUUGGUGCACUAGAUGAAUUUGACAAACGAGAACUACAGCAACUUCUGUCAUGUGACAAAGAGGCUGGGAUAUCCCUUAUAGAAAUUUGUUCCCAGGCCAUCAGUGGAGAGACUGCCAUAGUGCUUCCCGACUUCCCCAAGGUCCUCACAAAAGGCACUGUGGGUAGAGACCUGGCGGAAUCCCUCGGGUUCCAACUCAACGACGACAAGAACGCAAUUACCUCUCCUAGUCAGAUCACCAAAACGUUGGAGAACAGUUACUGGGUGCUGUACGCCCUCUUUAAAUGAGACCUUGUGUCCCAGCUGAUGGGUUUAGCUAUGUUCUGAUCAUCAGCGAUAUUUUGUCAACAUGAUUUUGUUUAAUGUACCGUAGUUUGUUUGUAAGUUUUACGAAGCCAAGCUUUGAGUUAAUUGUACAUUAUGUAUAACAUACAUGUAAGAGCAAUUUAUAGUCAGGUUGAUAUAGUACUAGUCAGUCAGUCCAGUGGAACCAAGAGUUGUGUUUAUACCUGUAAUCAUCGCUCAACAGGUUUAUCAUGAUUUAUUAUGCAAUACAAUGUGUUGAUUUGAAUUCUAAAAUUUUACAUGUACAGUUGAACUUUGAUAUCUCGAACACUGAUAUCUCGAAUACAAUGGAUAUGUCGAAGUUAUUUUUAAGUCCCAACCACUUGUUUUUAAGUAUAUUACCCUUGAUAUCUCAAAUACUCAGAUAUCUCAAAGUUUUUAAACAGUCCCAUCUAGUUCGAGAUAAUGAAGUUCGACUGUAUGUGCAAGUUAAUACAUGUACUUAAAUGCAAUUUUGACAAUUCCUUUAUUAAAUCAAUAAACAUGAAUGUACUAGAAGAAAUUUUUGUAUGCAAAUUUACCUGCAUGUUCUAAAUGCAUUACUUUGUACAUUGAAAAUAAAUUUGAUCUCAU